rnacentral:tRNA from 1 species
GGCCCUGAGGUGUAAUCAUAUCAGAUUGCAAAUCUGAAGAAGCGGUUAGUUCCCGCCGGGGCUU